UACAGAGGGGGCAAGCGUUGUUCGGAAUUACUGGGCGUAAAGGGCGCGUAGGCGGCCUUCUAAGUCGAACGUGAAAUCCCCGGGCUCAACCCGGGAACUGCGUCCGAUGCUGGAAGGCUUGAAUCCGGGAGAGGGAUGCGGAAUUCCAGGUGUAGCGGUGAAAUGCGUAGAUAUCUGGAGGAACACCGGUGGCGAAGGCGGCAUCCUGGACCGGCAUUGACGCUGAGGCGCGAAAGCCAGGGGAGCAAACGGG
rnacentral:rRNA from 1 species